AUGCAGUUCCUCCGGGGCGUCGGCGGCGGGGGAGGAGGGGCGGGGUCGACGGCGUGGGAGGCGUUCAGGAGGCAUUUCUCGCGGAAGCGGGCGGUGGACAUCCGGCGGAUCAACCCCAAGGUGCCCAAGGAGGAGGCCGUGGCCAUCUCCGGCCGCCUCCUCCAGAUCCUCGCCGACCACGGGCCCCUCACCGUCGGCAACACCUGGAACCACGCCAAGGAUGCUGCGAUCGAUGGCCUGAACAGCAAGACCCACAUGAAGAUCCUGCUCAAGUGGAUGUGGGGGAGGAGGAUCAUCAAGCUCUCCUGCACGCAGGCCGGCAACACCAAGAAGUUCCUCUACUCCCCGUUCACCGCCGACGACGCCGAGGCGGCCGAGGAGCCAUCGCCAGCCGAGGAGCAGCCGAAGAAGAAAGGGUGGAAAGGGAAACACCCAAAGUACCAGACCAAGAAACAGCCUGCGGCAGCAGCUUGA
rnacentral:rRNA from 1 species